CAUCUGUAUAUUUAUUGGCUUACCCUUAGGCUGCAAUUAUGACAAUAUAAUACUAAAUAUUUUAAAGUAUAUUUGUUGUGUGAAUUUCUCUGUGCGUUUUCGAACCACCUUAAAAAUACGACCAUGCAGAUAAAUCCGGUUGUUCCCCCUAAAGAAUAGUUACAGUCAAACCCUACGCCCCAACAGAAUAUUCACCUCAUAUUUCUUCUAAAAUACAGACCCUCUCGAACAUAGACAACAAGCGCAAGACAAACUGGCGGAAAGUGAAACCAGUCUUGCAGGACUGCCCUAGGCCCCUAUACGUUGAAAUUCAUUGCACGAAUUCAGUACGAAAAAUAGG